rnacentral:rRNA from 1 species
UACGGAGGGUGCAAACGUUGCUCGGAAUCAUUGGGCGUAAAGCGCACGUAGGCGCCUGUUAAGUCGGGUGUGAAAGCCCUGGGCUCAACCCAGGAAGUGCACUCGAAACUGGCGGGCUUGAAUAUGGAAGAGGGUCGCGGAAUUCCGGGUGGAGUGGGUGAAAUGCGUAGAGAUCCGGAGGAACACCAAAGGCGAAGGCAGUGUCCUGGGGAGUACCUGACGCUCAGGUGCGGAAAGCCAGGGGAGCGAACGGG